CGGCAGCGGGAAGUAGUUUACUACUUUGCCGGCGAGCGGCGGACGGGUGAGUAAUGUCUGGGAAACUGCCUGAUGGAGGGGGAUAACUACUGGAAACGGUAGCUAAUACCGCAUGACCUCGCAAGAGCAAAGUGGGGGACCUUCGGGCCUCACGCCAUCGGAUGUGCCCAGAUGGGAUUAGCUAGUAGGUGGGGUAAUGGCUCACCUAGGCGACGAUCCCUAGCUGGUCUGAGAGGAUGACCAGCCACACUGGAACUGAGACACGGUCCAGACUCCUACGGGAGGCAGCAGUGGGGAAUAUUGCACAAUGGGCGCAAGCCUGAUGCAGCC
rnacentral:rRNA from 1 species